rnacentral:rRNA from 1 species
UACGUAGGGGGCAAGCGUUGUCCGGAAUUAUUGGGCGUAAAGCGCGCGCAGGCGGUCAUUUAAGUCUGGUGUUUAAGCCCGGGGCUCAACCCCGGAUCGCACGGGAAACUGGAUGACUUGAGUGCAGAAGAGGAGAGUGGAAUUCCACGUGUAGCGGUGAAAUGCGUAGAGAUGUGGAGGAACACCAGUGGCGAAGGCGACUCUCUGGGCUGUAACUGACGCUGAGGCGCGAAAGCGUGGGGAGCAAGCAGG